rnacentral:lncRNA from 1 species
AUGGGCUUGAGCAACCUUGUACAACACCCCUACAAUAACCUACAGUCUUGUACAACAUCCCACAUUCUUGUACAACACCCUAAAGUCCUGUGCAACACCCCUACAAGAACCUACAGUCUUGUACAACACCCCUACAGCACCCUAUAUAUUUCUGUACAACACCUUUACAACACCCUACAGUCCUGUACAACUCCCCUACAACACCCUACAGUCCUGUACAACACUCCUACAACACCCUAUAGUCUUGAACAACACCCCUACAACAACCUACAGUCUUGUACAACAUCCCACAUUCUUGUACAACACCCUACAGCCCUGUACAACAAUACUGCAACACCCUACAGUCCUGUACAACACCCCUACAACACCCUACAGUCCUGUACAACACCCCUACAACACCCUACAGUCCUGUACAACACCCCUACAACACCCUACAGUCCUGUACAACACCCCUACAACACCCUACAGUCCUGUAC